rnacentral:misc_RNA from 1 species
GUUUGGGCCAGCAUGUUCACAGAAGAUGCAGAGAUAAUUGCAUUGACUUCAAUGGUUUUGCCGAUAAUUGGGCUUUGUGAGCUUGGAAAUUGCCCUCAAACAACAGGUUGUGGUGUCUUGAGAGGAACUGCCAGGCCUAAAAUGGGUGCAAAUAUUAAUUUGGGAUGUUUUUAUCUUGUGGGUAUGCCUGUUGCUAUUUGGUUAAGUUUCUAUGCUGGGUUUGAUUUUAAAGGACUUUGGCUUGGUCUAUUAGCCGCCCAAGGCUCUUGCGUUGCGACCAUGUUGUUAGUUU